rnacentral:rRNA from 1 species
GAUGAACGCUGGCGGCGUGCCUAAUACAUGCCAGUCGAGCGAACAGACGAGGAGCUUGCUCCUCUGACGUUAGCGGCGGACGGGUGAGUAACACGUGGAUAACCUACCUAUAAGACUGGGAUAACUUCGGGAAACCGGAGCUAAUACCGGAUAAUAUAUUGAACCGCAUGGUUCAAUAGUGAAAGACGGUUUUGCUGUCACUUAUAGAUGGAUCCGCGCCGCAUUAGCUAGUUGGUAAGGUAACGGCUUACCAAGGCAACGAUGCGUAGCCGUCCUGAGAGGGUGAUCGGCCACACUGGAACUGAGACACGGUCCAGACUCCUACGGGAGGCAGCAGUAGGGAAUCUUCCGCAAUGGGCGAAAGCCUGACGGAGCAACGCCGCGUGAGUGAUGAAGGUCUUCGGAUCGUAAAACUCUGUUAUUAGGGAAGAACAAAUGUGUAAGUAACUAUGCACGUCUUGACGGUACCUAAUCAGAAAGCCACGGCUAACUACGUG